rnacentral:rRNA from 1 species
GACGAACGCUGGCGGCGUGCUUAACACAUGCAAGUCGAGCGAUGAAGCUCCUUCGGGAGUGGAUUAGCGGCGGACGGGUGAGUAACACGUGGGUAACCUGCCUCAUAGAGGGGAAUAGCCUUUCGAAAGGAAGAUUAAUACCGCAUAAGAUUGUAGCUUCGCAUGGAGCAGCAAUUAAAGGAGUAAUCCGCUAUGAGAUGGACCCGCGUCGCAUUAGCUAGUUGGUGAGGUAACGGCUCACCAAGGCGACGAUGCGUAGCCGACCUGAGAGGGUGAUCGGCCACAUUGGGACUGAGACACGGCCCGGACUCCUACGGAAGGCAGCAGUGGGGAAUAUUGCACAAUGGGGGAAACCCUGAUGCAGCAACGCCGCGUGAGUGAUGACGGUCUUCGGAUUGUAAAGCUCUGUCUUCAGGGACGAUAAUGACGGUACCUGAGGAGGAAGCCACGGCUAACUACGUGCCAGCCGCCGCAGUAA